rnacentral:rRNA from 1 species
GACGAACGCUGGCGGCGUGCUUAACACAUGCAAGUCGAACGGUGAAGCGCCUUCCUUUUUGGUGGGUGUGGAGGAGUGGCGAACGGGUGAGUAACACGAGAGUAACCUGCCCCCUCCGUCUGGAUAACCGCAUGAAAGUGUGGCUAAUACGGGAUAUUCUGGGUCUGUCGCAUGAAGGGUCUGGGAAAGAUAUGGUUUCGGUGGGGGAUGGGCUCGCGGCCUAUCAGCUAGUUGGUGGGGUGAUGGCCUACCAAGGCGGUGACGGCUAGCCGGCCUGAGAGGGUGGACGGUCUCGCUGUGACUGAGGCACCGCCCAGACUCGUGCGGGAGGCGGCGGUGAUGAUUCUUGCUCAGUGGGCGCAUGCCGGAUGCAGCGAGGCCGCGUGAUGGAUGGCUGCCUUCGGGUUGUCAACCUCUUUCGCGAGGGAAGCAGGCCUGCCUCGUUUGUGGGUGGGUGGCCGGUAGCUGGAUAAGAAGCGCCGGCUACCUACGU